rnacentral:miRNA from 1 species
GAGAUUGGGCAUUCGGGAUUAGGGAUUCGCAACAACAAAAAAAGGAAUCCUGUUUUUGCGAAUCUCCAAUCCCAAACCCCAAUCCCA